UACGGAGGGGGCUAGCGUUGUUCGGAAUUACUGGGCGUAAAGCGCGCGUAGGCGGACCUGCAAGUCGGGGGUGAAAGCCCGAGGCUCAACCUCGGAACUGCCUUCGAUACUGCGGGUCUCGAGUCCGGGAGAGGUGAGUGGAAUUCCCGGUGUAGCGGUGAAAUGCGCAGAUAUCGGGAGGAACACCUAUGGCGAAGGCAGCUCGCUGGGACGUUACUGACGCUGAGACGCGAAAGCGUGGGGAGCGAACAGG
rnacentral:rRNA from 1 species